UGUGUAGGCGGAAGAUUAAGCGUCUUGUGAAAUCCCUCGGCUUAACCGAGGAAUUGCUUGGCGAACUGGUUUUCUUGAGGCAAGUAGGGGUGCAUGGAACUCUUGGUGGAGCGGUGGAAUGCGUAGAUAUCAAGAGGAACGCCGGUAGUGAAAACGGUGCACUGGGCUUGUCCUGACGCUGAGACACGAAAGCGUGGGUAGCGAACAGGAUUAGAUACCCUGGUAGUCC
rnacentral:rRNA from 1 species